rnacentral:rRNA from 1 species
UACGGGGGGGGUAAGCGUUGUUCGGAAUUACUGGGCGUAAAGGGCUCGUAGGUGGCCAACUAAGUCAGACGUGAAAUCCCUCAGCUUAACUGGGGAACUGCGUCUGAUACUGGAUGGCUUGAGUUUGGGAGAGGGAUGCGGAAUUCCAGGUGUAGCGGUGAAAUGCGUAGAGAUGUGGAGGAACACCAGUGGCGAAGGCGACUCUCUGGUCUGUAACUGACGCUGAGGAGCGAAAGCGUGGGGAGCAAACGGG